CCAAGUAGCGUGCAGGYCGCCGGCCCUAUGGGGUUGAAKYUGCUUUUUAAAAGGGUGUAAUAUCCACGUGUGGAUAUUUGCAUGUACCYUAUGAAUAAGGACCGSCAAAUUCCGUGCCAGCAGCCKCGGUAAUACGGAAGGUCCGGGCGUUAUCCGGAUUUAUYGGGUUUAAAGGGAGCGUAGKCGGUAUAUUAAGCGUGUUGUGAAAUGUAGGUGCUCAACAUMUGACUYGCAGCGCGAAYUGGUUUACUUGAGUACGCCCAACGUAGGCGGAAUUCGUCGUGUAGCGGUGAAAUGCAUAGAUAUGMCGAAGAACUCCGAUUGCGAAGGCAGCWUACGGGAGCGCAWCUGACKCWGAAGCUCGAAA
rnacentral:rRNA from 1 species